rnacentral:rRNA from 1 species
GAUGAACGCUGGCGGCGUGCUUAACACAUGCAAGUCGAACGGAAAGGCUCCUGCUUGCAGGGGUACUCGAGUGGCGAACGGGUGAGUAACACGUGGGUGAUCUGCCCUGCACUUCGGGAUAAGCCUGGGAAACUGGGUCUAAUACCGGAUAGGACCACAUUUUGGAUGGUGUGGUGGAAAGUUUUUCGGUGUGGGAUGAGCUCGCGGCCUAUCAGCUUGUUGGUGGGGUAAUGGCCUACCAAGGCGUCGACGGGUAGCCGGCCUGAGAGGGGGUACGGCCGCAUGGGGGAUGAGAGACGGCCCGGACCCCGCCGGGCGGCAGCAGUCGGGAGUAUUGAUCAAUGGGCGCACGUCUGAUGCAGCGACGCCGCGGGGGGGAUGACGGCCUUCGGGUUGUAAACUCCUUUCGCUAGGGACGAAGCGCAAGUGACGGUACCUGGAGAAGAAGCACCGGCUAACUACGU